GUUCCUGUAGUUGAAUAACAACAGCGGCUUUUCUCGUCGUUAGUCCUGGUUAAAGUCCGGGCAGGAACU
rnacentral:tRNA from 1 species